UGUAAAUAACCUUUUGGGUAUUUACAACUACCAUCUUUCCAUUAUUGUCACUAUACAAAUACUAUUUUUCUUUAUUUUAAGCAGCGGUUGUCAUUACUUUCCACUGCUUAUUUUAAUUAUCUUAUUCCACUGGCCUACUUUUUUUUCUUCCCCACAUUUGGCAACUGUUGCUGUCCUAUACUGAUAACUUAAUGACAUUCUGCUAACAACAUCAUCUUAUUUUUAAGAUAUUGGCCCAACAACUUCUGUAUUACAAAGAAAUCUUUGUACAGAUUACCUCAUUGGAUAGAAAUUUAACAUCUGAAAUUGAAUGUCCUUUCUUGGCUGUGUCAGUGGAGAAAUAUAUUGACCCCAUCACCUGUGAAUAAACUUUUACUAUGUUUUUGCCCUUGGUCAGUUAGUAAAACUGAAUACAGUCAUUCCAGUAGUAAGUUGUUGCACUUACAUGGCAUUUUCAUGGCACAGCAGUUUGCAUCCAUGCUCGUCUCUGUGAGUUCUCAAAGAACAAAAAGAAAAUUAGAAGUGCUGAGCUUACGAUCACCUCCUAAACUGAUUUCCCAGGCUCACAUUGUGAUCUUUACUCACUGCCUGUAGAGAAAUAAAUAUGAGUACUUAUGAAAGAAACGGUAUCUUGUAGCUUAUUGCUACACCUGGUCUGUAUUAGAAGUCUGUUGUACGUAGCUCAAAUUAAAUAAUGUAGUUCAUACUAAUUAACAGUAUGAUCAGUUGAUUGCAAACAGAUGUAUAUAGGCUGUUCUAGCCAUUCCUAGUCCCUUCCUAUUUGCUUGCAGUAACUGGCUGUAUGGAGUGGAAGGUGCUAAUCCACUGCAGCCAGAACUCAUGCUAGGCAACACUGGCUGUCAAGAUUUUUAAGCUACUGAGACAGUCACCAGCCCACUCCUGCUGGUCUUUGCAGGGUCAGAAGGACAGCACAGGUGAGCACAAUCUCUGUGGCAGCUGGCAGCAAGGAGACAAGAUUGCUGUCUGCAAGGGCAAAGGGAAAUAUAGUUGACAGCCUUCAGUUUGGCCUCUUGGAAGGCUUUGUGGCAGCUGCUUCCCUGAAGCACUGGAAAGGACAGCAGUCAUGGCCCCCAUCAGCCCAGCAUGCAAAAGGUGACAGAGAGACUUGACCAGGUAUGUUCAGGAAAAAGAAACCAUCCAUCCUAGCUGCCUGUUACAGCUGUGGUAGAAAGAAGGGGGUAAUGCCUUAAGUACAAAGAAUAACAGGAAUAAAGCUGAAGUGAGGGGGUUAGAAAUAUUAAUAAAUGUGUAAAUGAGGAGUCAGUAAAGGGGAUAGAACCUCUGACUUGACAUUUGCUCUGCACUUUCUUGCCUAGACAUUAAAGUGCUUGAUUAAGUAGAAUCUCUCCUGGUAUUUCCCAAGCUGGAUGUGGAGUAUGUGAUAAAUGGCCAAUGGCUUGCCUGAGGUUGCCCAAAGGCUGUAAACACUAACUGAACCCCUGUUCUCAUCUGCUGACUGUUAUCGCUUCCUGCUCCCUCCUUGUCUUACUGUAAGAAUGUAGCAGUGUGAAGCAGUGUUAUGUAGGGAACACUGGUGUUAAAACAGCUGUCCUACUUGAUGGCAGUCAAUGGAGACAUGCGAGGUCAGGCUGGAUGGGGGUCUGAGCAACCUGACCUAGCUGUGGUGUCCCCUGUUCAUUGCAGGGACUAGAUAACCUGUAAGGGUCCAUUCCAACUCAAACAAUUCUGUGAAUAAGGUGUCUGAGUGAAAUCCAGAAGAUCUCAGUUCCAAAAGCAAGGUGUUGUGGAAUACCCUCACAUAGAGCUGGUAAAAAGUCUGUUGUUUCAGAUUAUCAGCUCUGGAAAAUUUGUUGUAACAGAUGGAAUCGCUGAUGUUAGAUAUCACAAUUGCACAGUUUUAAAUGUAUUUCUGCUGUCUUCAGGAGUUGCACAUAAUAAAACAGGAUGCUGUUUUACAAAGCAUUUUGGAGCACCUUAAAUUUGAGGUGAGUUACAACUUCCUUUAUAUUAAAAAUGGUAUUUCACAUCCCUCGCUAGGAAAAUAAACCACAUGUUAUUUCCAUGGAGUUCCUCCAUCAAAGAUUCCUACUUUCUUAUCUGGAAAUCAGUGAGGAUUUAGUGUGUUGUGAAGAGCACCACCUUGUGCGCAGAAAGCAAAAAGCAUUUAGUAUUAUAAUAAUGCAAAGUGACUGCUGAGGAGCUUUGAACUACUGAGAUAAAUCUACCUGAGCUCAUUGCAAAAGUGCAUGAGAAACAAGAUACUUUUGUCACCCAUCCUUUGUAUGCAUUUUGGAAAAGCAAGAUAAGAUGUUUAAACAUUGGUGCUUGUUUCCUGAAUCUUAAUAUUGUUUUGCAUCGUUAUUUGAAUUUAAAGCAGAUACUUUUGCAGUACAGAUUGGAAGUAAUAUAUGAGAAAAUAAUAUCAUUCAAGUUGUUGCCCAAAGCAUCAAUGAAGUCUAUUGAGAAAUCCCAUUUGCAGAGGCUGCAUGUCUCUGUCCAUGCACUAUAGAGCAUGUUGAAUGAAAUUAUUCCUAUGCCAUAUGCUAAUGCCUUUGAAUAAACCUUGUCUCAUGGAAGAGAUAAUCAGGAAAAAGACACAAAUCAGGCCAGUACUGGAAAAGCUCUGGGUAACUUCUCAAUGAACAAGAAGAGAAGCUCAACAGACAACAGAUUAAAAACGUGUAAAGGGAAGUACCUUAGGCAAAUUCAAAGGCAACAAAUUCAUACCUUUCAUAAAUGCAAGUGAUCUGUAUCUCUUCUAUAGAAGCCGCUCAACCACUGUAGCAAAGACUACAUGGGUCAUUCUGUGUAUAUCCUAGUGCUUUCUCCAUUUGCUCAUGUUCAGAAAGGUACAAUUCAUUCCUUAAGGCAUUGGGGUUUUUUUGGUUGGUUGUUUUUUGUUUUCUCUUACACUGAAAUACCAUAAGGGUCCUAAUAUUCCCUCUUAACUGCCCAGAAACACAUAAGAAAGCAAGACUUCUUUUGCAUAUAGAAACUGUAUGGUUAGUAUUCAUGUAUAAAAUCAGUUAUACAAUCUGAUAAAGAUACUUUUAAAAAUAACUUAGAACGCAAUCUACAAUGUUUCUGUAUAUUAAUCUAUAUAUUAAUCAAGAUUUCAUUUUUCCUAGAUGUA